AGCAGCCGCGGUAAUUCCAGCUCCAAUAGCGUAUAUUAAAGUUGUUGCAGUUAAAAAGCUCGUAGUUGAAUUUCGGGGUUAGUAGGUUGGUCAUGCCUCUGGUAUGUACUGGUCUCACUGAUUCCUCCUUCCUGAUGAGCCGUAAUGCCAUUAAUUUGGUGUUGCGGGGAAUUUGGACUGUUACUUUGAAAAAAUUAGAGUGUUUAAAGCAAGCUAACGCUUGAAUACAUUAGCAUGGAAUAAUGAAAUAGGACGUUCGAUCCUAUUUUGUUGGUUUCUAGGAUUGACGUAAUGAUUAAUAGGGAUAGUUGGGGGCAUUAGUAUUCAAUUGUCAGAGGUGAAAUUCUUGGAUUUAUUGAAGACUAACUACUGCGAAAGCAUUUGCCAAGGAUGUUUUCAUUAAUCAAGAACGAAAGUUAGGGGAUCCAAGACGAUCAGAUACCGUCGGAGUCUUAACCAUAAACUAUGCCGACUAGGGAUCCGGAUGACGUUAAUUUUUUAAUGACUCA
rnacentral:rRNA from 1 species